rnacentral:lncRNA from 1 species
AGAUGCUACGAAAAAACACACCUGAUAAUUUAUCAUAUGAGAAUGAGUUUAGAACUAUGGAGCUUUGGGGACCCUGAGUAGGUUUUGCUGAAAACAUUGAAUGUUUGAAAAAGAUGAAUGUUUGAAGAGAUGUUGCAAA